rfam:Medicago truncatula strain A17 chromosome 4, whole genome shotgun sequence.
UCCAUAAAUAAUAAAAGGUAUCUUUAGAUCCUUAACUUUAUUAAUUUAAUUCAAAAAAAAAGUUAAGAUUAAGGACAAAAUUAAUACUGAUUAAAUAAGUUAAUGGAUCAAACUAAUACUAAUUAAAUAAGUUAAAGGAUCAAAAUUUAACGUUUUUUUGGAUUAAAUUAACAGAAAGGAUCAAACCGAUACUUUAAAUAAAGUUAAGGGACUUAAACGGACCUUUUAUUACUUAUGGGA